CCUACGGGGGGCAGCAGUCGAGAAUCUUCGGCAAUGGGCGAAAGCCUGACCGAGCGACGCCGCGUGUGGGAUGAAGGCCCUUGGGUUGUAAACCACUGUCAGAGGGGAUGAAGUGCACGUGAGUCAUCUCAUGUGUUUGACAUAGCCUCAGAGGAAGCACGGGCUAAGUUCGUGCCAGCAGCCGCGGUAAUACGAACUGUGCAAACGUUAUUCGGAAUCACUGGGCUUACAGGGUUCGUAGGCGGCGUGUGAAAUCCCUCGGCUCAACCGAGGAAUUGCGCCCUGAACUGGCGAGCUGGAGUGGGACAGAGGUGCGCGGAACUUCCAGUGGAGCGGUGAAAUGUGUUGAUAUUGGAAGGAACGCCGGAGGCGAAAGCGGCGCACUGGGUCUCAACUGACGCUGAGGCACGAAACCCAGGGGAGCAAACGGGAUUAGAUACCCCUGUAGUC
rnacentral:rRNA from 1 species